rnacentral:rRNA from 1 species
CUUACAAAAAUAGGUCUCAGUUCGGACUGUAGGCUGCAACUCGCCUACACGAAGUUGGAAUUGCUAGUAAUCGUGGAUCAGCAUGCCACGGUGAAUACGUUCCCGGGUCUUGUACACACCGCCCGUCACACCAUGGGAGCUGGUAACACCCGAAGUCAGUAGUCUAACCGCAAGGAGGACGCUGCCGAAGGUGGGAUUAGCGACUGGGGUGAAGUCGUAACAAGGUAUC